ensembl:lncRNA
UUUUUUUUUUUUUUUUUUUUUUUUUUUUUUUUAGGGCUGCUAUAUGGAGGUUCCCAGGCUAGGAGUCACAUCAGAGCCACAGCCCCAGCAAUGCCAGAUCCAGGCCGCCUCUAUGACCUACACCACAGGUCAUGGAACACCAGCUUCUUAACCCACUGAGCAAGGCCAGGGAUCAAACCUGCAUCCUCAUGGAUACGAGUCAGAUUUGUUUGCACUGUGCCAUGGCGGGAACUCCAAGACCAUCCCUUUUAAUAUUUGCUUUGGGAAUUCUCUUACCCUAAAUUCUUACUUUUUCCUUAGGCACAGUCAAGUCUGAGUGGGAAUGUUUCAAGUUAGUGAACUUUGGGCCCCAGCAAGGCUAGCAGCACUCCUCCCCAAUUGCUGGGCUCCUGGUGGGGGACCGUCUGGGAGUGAGGACUGCCUUGAUGUCUAGCACUGGCCGAGUCUAAUGGAGCCUUCCUUGCUGGCUGGCUGGGCCCUGUAAUUAAUCACUGCGGGACUGUGGGGCCACAGAGAGAUCAUUUAUUUGCCAGGCCAAGAGGACCAAAGUGAUUCCUGCACUUGACUGUCCUUUCAGACAGUUGACAGACAGACAUUUAAACUAUUGAAAAAUGGUGCCUCUCUACCAGAUAACCUUUUUCAUAUAAGCACAGGAAGAGGGGGAAAAAAAAAACCUCAAGUGAUACACUGAUUUUUUAAAUAAAAAGUGCUGUGGAUUAUUGCAUUGCUGUAUUUGUGUGGUUGGCCAUGGUGUACUACUAGCCAUUCUCUGCCUUUUUGAAAAGCUCAGGAGUUCCUGUCGUGGUGCAGUGGUUAACGAAUCCAACUAGGAACCAUGAGGUUGCGGGUGCGGUCCCUGCCCUUGCUCAGUGGGUUAAGGAUCCAGCAUUGCCAUGAGCUGUGGUGUAGGUUGCAGACACAGCUUGGAUCCCGAGUUGCUGUGGCUCUGGCGUAGGCCGGCGGCUACAGCUCCGAUUAGACCCCUAGCCUGGGAACCUCCAUAUGCCGCGGGAGAGGCCCUAGAAAUGGCAAAAAGACAAAAAAGACAAAAAAAAAAAAAAAUGAAUAGCUCAGAAGAGGAUGUCAGAGGAUGGAGGAAACCAAGCAGAAGUUCCCAGCCAGGAACUGAAUCUGAGCCAUACCUGUGGCAACACUGGAUCCUUUAACCCACUGCACCAGGCAGGGGAUCGAACUUGUGCCUCUGCAGCAACCCAAGCCCCUGCACUCGGAUUCAUAACCCGCUGUGCCACAGUGGGUACUCCUUUUUUUCUCCUUAGAAAUAGAAGAGGAAACAGCCACAGGAUUUUGUUGCAAAUAAAUAGCCUAUGAGGAUGAACUCUAAAAUAUAUGUUCGGGAAAAACCAAGCAAUUUUUUCAGCCUUUUAGGACAGCUUUUACUCCAUAAAGUAGGGUUUAGAAUAGAGCCAACAAGCCAGAUGAGAUGGGCUCUUGGCACCUGGCCCUGUGAUUGUUAGUAAGGGGGCCAUGCUGCCCGGUUGUUAGAACCAGGUGUCCAGAGCUGGGCUGGCGACUCAGUGCAGCAGCAAAUGGGAGGAAAAGAGGAAUUGGUAGCUGCUGUUUAUUUUUUAAAAUAUCUAGGUGCUCAGAUGGGCAUUGCAGGCACCUACAGUUGAAGCCCUGCCUCUCUCCUCUCUCUGAGCCCCCGGUCCUCAGGUCAGUGCUGACAGUGGCCACCUGGGCAUGCCUACCCUUUCCCACCUCACAUGUCACCUGUAGCCCUGCCUGCUGCUUUGCCACCCCUUAGGGGGUGCCUGGUGGCACUGUAGACUCCCUCUUGUCCUGGUUCCCAACCUUCUCACUAUUAUUUAUUUAUUUUCUUGCGUGGAUCCCUCAUGAAAGAUUUUGUCCAGCAAACUGUAUAAAACAAGUAUUGUUGCCUCUUAUUAUUAUUUUUUUUUAACCAGGCACAAUAUUUUCCAGUCAGUAGGAAGGGUGGAUGUGGUGAUAAUGGCAAGAGCUGAUAACAUGUAAGCUAAAUGCAAAGAAUUAACCUUUGUUGCAGUUAGCGUAUGGUUCCUUAUUGCCCACAACCUAUUUUUCAUUAGCUUUUUCCCCUUCAAUAUUUAAAAUAGCAUAGGUCUCUUGUUGCUGCCUUCCCUGAUUCUCAAGGGGCCUGGAUGAGAAAUUGGAACUGUACUGGCAGGCUUGGCUUUUGUACCACUCCUGGGUUUUCAGCUCAGAUUCAUGUCAAGAUUAUUUUGUUUGGGAUUCGAAUGUGUAAGACCUUCCUAGAACACAUUACUUCAAAGUCCCCGACCUCCUUUUUCUUGUUGAAAAGUGAUGUUUUAAUAGUUUUAUUUUCUUGGCUCUCAAAGUGCUGCAAGUUGCCUGAGAGGCCCGAUGCUUGUCAGCUGCACGUUUAAUUAAACUCGUGCUGAGAAUAUUAUUUUUCUUCUAGCAGAGUUUUGUCCUUUGGAGAAAAAUUUAUCUGGUGACAAUUUCUAUCAUCCAUUGACUAUGGGCGAGAAGAACUUAAUGUCUUUAGGUGUCUUCUAGCCUGCCAAGGUAAAGGAAAGCAUUGACAAGAACAAAGUAUUUUAAUGAUAUACUUCUUUUUUUUUUUCAUUGCAGAAUUGAUAUUGUAUUCAUUGUAAGCAUUUUCAAAUUGUCAUAAGUACUAUGAAGAACAUGAAAACUAUCCAUAAAUUCCAUCACUUAUAAUUAGUUGAUAAUUUAUAUCUCUAAAUACAUUUGUAUUUGUUUACAAAAUGGAAUAAUUCUACAUACUGAUAAGUAAUUUUUUCCCCAUUUGAAAUAGAGUGACUAUCUCUUCAUGUAAAGAAAUAUAGAACUCUGUCAUUUUUUGAUAGCUGCAUUGUAUUCCAUUUAUGGUUUAACAUAAUUUUUUUGGGGGGUAACCAAUUUUUCACUAUUAAAAGCUGUCCUGGGAUGAAUAUCCUUGUAGCCAAAUCUUUGUUAAACCAUAAUUUGAAAAGUGACUUUUUUUUUCCCCUGGGAAAAAUAUUCAAAUUGAAUUUCUCUAGUGUUUCUGGUGACAUCAUUCAAUCAUUUGAAAAGAUCAACAUUCAGGUCAAACAUUGUUUUGAGAAAUGUCAGUUAUGUACUUUAUUUUAAAGAACUUUACCAAAGUAAUGUUUUUGGUGAGCCAAAUUUAUUUUUUUUUAUAGUUAGGAUUAAAUAAUGAGAUUUAGAAAAAUGACUCUUAAGGAAUAGUUUAAGGCCCUACUGUGAAAAAUUUCUCAAUGAUUCUGUCUUCAGAGCUAAAGGUACUCACUGGCUGUCAUGCAUUUGAGAGAUAAAUGGUGAUGCCUCUUGUUUUUAUUGAAUUGUUUUGACUUUUAAUGAAUAAUUUUGAGGGUGUGAGCCUUAUAUACAUUUUAAUUCCUCUAAUACUUAAUAUAGAGCUGUAUACAUUAAUGCUCAAAUAUAUAGACCCUAAAUAGUGGGGGCAUAAUUUUUAUAGUUCUUUUCAAAUGAAGCAAAGACCACCUUUGUUCUAUAGGCUGAAUUUACAUUAUGGGCUCAACACCUGAGACUAUAACAAUAUUUACAAAUUUCAGUCAAAAAUGUCUGAAUGUCAGUAAAUGCUUGUUGGAGACCUUGCAUGGUAUUCUUUGCCUCUGCACUGCCCUUUGUGGGGACAGGGAAAAAUACAUCCAGCUUUCUGACUCUUAGCUGGAGGUAAGCAGUGAGAACACAUUCUGCCAGAAAAAGCAGAUUUCUUGGUACACAUGAGUGGCUGGGAACAGAAGUCUGUCUGUACUGAGUUCAGAAACCCACUGAAGUUUCUGAACAUCAUCAAAUCUUUCUUUUGCACUGUCAUCUGCUCAGCCCUUUUUUUCCCUCUCCAUUUUCUUUCCUUUAUAGUUCCUUUUUUGGGGGAGGAGGCAUAUUUAUAAGACGCCUGCUCAUUAAUGCUUUCUCAGUGCACAAGGUAAAGCAUUAUUGAUUUUUUUUUUUUUUUUUUUUUUUUUUUUUUUUGCUACUUUAGGGCCACACUUGUGGCAUAUGGAGGUUCCCACGCUAGGGGUCGAAUCGGAGCUAUAGCUGCCAGUCUACACCACAGCCACAGGGAUCCGAGCCACAUCUGUGACCUACACCACAGCUCAGGGCCGGAUCUUUAACCCACUGAGCGAGGCCAGGGAUCGAACCCACAUCCUCAUGGAUCCUAGUCUGGUUUAUUAACUGCCCAGCCACGAAGGGAACUCCUAAAGCAUAAUUGAAUUAAGCACAAUCUAUGGUUCACUUUACCUAUGGAUUAGAUUAUUUGUGCUAAAGAUUGAACUUUUGUUAUGAAAGCUCAAAUUGACACAAGAUAAUUGGUCCAUUUCCUUCUCUGUCCAACCCUAACCCAGUAUCUUCUUCUUUAAAGUCAUGUACGUGUAGCAAUGCACCAGUUCAAAUAAAGAAAUUCUGUAUUAAAAUUGAAUUUCAUUAAAUUCUGUUCCUAAACUGGUGUUGGUUCUCGAGCUGACCCUGAAGAAUUUUUGUUGUCAGCCAGGCUGGCACAUCUCAGGGAUACCGUGAGUUUAGUUCCAAACCACUGACCACCAUAGUAGGUGAAUAUCAUCAAUAAAGUGAGUCACAUAAAUUUUUUUGUUUUUCCAAUGCAUUUAAAAGUUAUAUUUACACUAUACUGUAGUCCAUUGAAUAUACAGUAGCAUAUGUGUGAGACAAAUGUGUAUAUCUUCAUUUAAAAAAAUUACUUUAUUGCUAAAAAAAAAUAGUAACCAUCAUCUGAGCCUUCUGUGAGUUGUAAUCUUUUUGCAGCAGUAAUAUCAAAGAUCACUCAUCACAGAUCACCACAAUAAGUAUAACAAUAAUGAAAAAAUUGGAAAUAUUGCAAGCAUUACCAGAAUGUGGCACAGAGACAUGCAGCAAACAGAUGCUUUUGGAAAAAUGGCACUGAUAGACUCGCUUGAUGCAGAGCCGCCACAGACCUUGAACUUGUAAGAAAAACACUAUCUGUGAAGCUCAGUAAACGAGUGAGGUAUGCCUGUCUAUAUAAGUUAUAUUUGUAUUGGCAAUUAAAACUGAGCAAUUUAAAAAGAUACUUAUAAAUUCUGUUAAAAAUAAACCUGGAAACAUUUUUUAAUGAAAAGCACCCAUGUUUUCCUAAACGAAACCCAAGGUGAUAAGUAGAGGGGCAUCAUCAUAUACUUCUGAGUCCCUUUAGUGUCUGUCUUAAUAGAGUACAGCUGGAUUCUUACCUGCUUCUGCAUUUAGUCUGUCAUGCUAGCACACUCCAGAGGAAACUCCGCUCGUCCUCAGGAGAGAAUGGGAGUGAAAAAGGAAAAUAACAUCCUAGCAUUAUGGGGAAAAUAGCUUUGACCUCAUGUAUCUCUUGAAAGGAUCUUGGAGGGAGUUCCUGCUUUGGCUCAGGGGAAACGAAUCCAUGAGGAUGCAGGUUCGAUCCCUGGCCUCACUCAGUGGGUUAAGGAUCUGACAUUGCCGAGAGUUGUGAUGUAGGUUGCAGAUGGCGGCUCCAAUCUGGUGUUGCUGUGGCUCUGGCGUAGCUCUAGCUCCAAUUCGACCCCUAGCCUGGGAACCUCCAUAUGCCGUGGGUGCAGCCCUA